rnacentral:tRNA from 1 species
GCAUUGAUGGUUCAGUGGUAGAUUUCUCACCUUUUACGCCGGAAACCCAGGUUCAGUUCAUGGCCAAUGCA